rnacentral:lncRNA from 1 species
GGCGCUUGUUUGUUCUGGCGUGGCCAUUCCGGCUAUCUUGGGGCUGCAAGUAGAUGGUAUAGACACUUCAGACUGCAAGUAGAUGGUAUAGACACUUCAGACUGCAAGUAGAUGGUAUCGACACUUCAGAUCAGAUCGAUAAACGCAACGGAACAUAGAGACUUGGCGACUAAAAGAGAGUAGCUGUCAAAUGAAAGAAGACGACACUCAGAAAUUGUAUGAUAUGGAGAAGCCUCCAGGCACUUUUAUUUUAGUUCACAAGAAAAUGGCUAACAC